CGCCUGUUUAUCAAAAACAUGUCCGUAUGAAAAUAGUAUAAGGUCUAACCUGCCCGUUGAAUAUUGAAAGGCCGCGGUAAUUUGACCGUGCAAAGGUAGCAUAAUCAUUAGCUUUUUAAUUGAAAGCUUGUAUGAAAGGUUGAAUGAAAAAUAAGCUGUCUUAUUUAUAAAAAUUGAAUUUAACUUUUAAGUGAAAAGGCUUAAAUAAUAGAAAGGGACGAUAAGACCCUAUAAAACUUUAUAUAAAAUGAAUUUUUUAUUAUAUUUAUUUGUUUAGUAAGAAAUAAUUUAUUAAUAUUUUAUUGGGGCGAUAGGAAUAUAAGUAAGUAACUGUUCUUUUUUAAAACAAAUAUAAUUGGUUAAUAAGAUCCUUGUUUAGAGAUUAGAAGGUAAAGUUACUUUAGGGAUAACAGCGUAAUUUUUUU
rnacentral:rRNA from 1 species